rnacentral:tRNA from 1 species
GGUCGUGUAGCUCAGUUGGUUAGAGCGUCCGUCUUAUGAGCGGAAUGUCGAGGGUUCAAGCCCCUCCGUGACCA